CUCUUAUCGAAUUAAAACCCACGUUCAUUCAUUUUGAUUACGCAUUUUCCAAAAUAUUCCAAAAUAUUCAUAAGCUUUUUUCGAUGUGCACAAUUUCAACCAACGAAUUUAUCAACGCUUUGGAGGAAGUGAUUAGAAGACGGAGGGAAAUCUUCAGACGGUCCAUGAGACCUUUCGAUUUUUAUGAAUGAGCGUCGACAGAGGAUUAAACAUGCUGCACAAGCAUGGAAGCAAGUCGCUGCAAAGUUCCGUCUACAAGAACAGUAGGGGUGCCUUCUUGAAAUCUAUGUCGGAGUUCCCAGUGGAGGGGGGAGAAAACGGGGACAUGCAAGCGGUCAUGGAAAACUUUCAAAAAAAGAACAAUCUGGUCACUGGCCGGACCCAUGUUUCCCAUCAUCCACAAGUUACUACUUCAUCACAGAUGCUAACGACGAAUCAGAGCCAGAGCAGCAGCAGCAGCAGCAGCAGUUCGAGCAGGGUGAAAUCCUCCCAGAGGAUUUCCUCUCUUUCUACCUCUUCCUCGUCGAGUGAAAUGAAGGCGAGCUCUAUGAAGAGCGAUCUCACCGAAUUAAAACGUGGCAUCUCGGAGAUGAAAAAUAUGUCCUCGAAUUUUUCCCAACGAUUACGUAGCAGCAUGGAGAACCUCGUUGACAGAGACGGACCUGUCGCCGAAGAAAAUGAUUUGACCGAGCCACUGGUAACAUUCCCAGAUCCUGACACCCCACCACCUUCGACGGGAACUGUAACUUUGACAGGAGGUUCACCGUCUCAGCUGAGUUCUCUCAAUUCGCUGAACAAUCUUCACACUAUGAGUCCACCGAUAAAUAUGCCGAAUAUUACGAAUAUGACGAGUAUACCUGCUGGCCAGGAAACUAUGAAAUUCGAACAGAAGAAAAUGACGAGUGCGUCCAAAACGAAGGUCGUUACCGAUGGAUUUAGUGCCGAGAAGGCAAUAGCUAACAGUGCUGAAAUGAGAGCACUGCAAGCCGGUGAUGUUUCUUACAAGGAACAAAGUGCAUCGACUGCGGCAAGAGCACGCGUUGAAUUGGACGGUGUUUCUGCUGAAAAAAGGGUCGCUGCUGCUAGAGAACAGCGAAGCUUGAAGGCUGGAGAUUUAUCGCAUCAAGAGAGCAACAACAUGGCAGCGUCGACUAUGAAGUUACAAAGUGACUCAUUCAGUUCGGAAAAGAAGGCGAUGGCGGCACAACAACAACGUCAGACGGUCACUUCUUCUGGGAUUUACAAUCACGAGAAACACAUGGCUUCGAGCUCGCAAUCGAGCAUAACGAUAGCUUCGAAAGGUGUUACAUCUAAAUCAUCGAUGAUCAGUGCAGCUAACGCGGUUAAUCAAUUGAUGAAUGGUAUGAGGCCAGCGGAGGAUGAACUUCUUUCUUUGCCAUUGGACGACUUGGAUUUGCUAUGUUCUAAGUCGAAUCCUCAGGAUGUGGAACGUGCUAUUACCAAGUACUGCAGUUUCUUGGAUAGUUUCGUCGAACGUUUGAAGGCUAACGACGGAAAGAACGCGAAAGCACCGUUAUUGUUGAACAGAGUCAACGAAAUCAUCAGGAAGGCUUGGGCUGUACCUACUCAUGGUCACGAACUUGGUUACACUUUGUGUAACACUCUCAGAACGAGAGGGGGCUUAGAUUUAUUGAUGUCCAAUUGUAUCGCGAGCGAUCAGGAGUUACAAUUUUCUUCGGCGAGGUUAUUGGAACAAUGUUUGACCACCGAAAAUCGUGCACACGUGGUCGAGCAUGGUCUCGAAAAGGUCGUCAACGUGGCUUGCGUUUGCACGAAGAAUGCCAACUCCGUUGAUCAUUCUAGAGUGGGUACUGGGAUCUUGGAACAUUUGUUCAAGCACAGCGAAGGUACGUGUAGCGACGUUAUCAGGCUUGGUGGUUUGGAUGCAGUCUUGUUCGAGUGCAGGAAGAACGACGUGGAAACGUUGAGACAUUGCGCCGGAGCGUUAGCUAAUUUGUCGCUCUAUGGUGGUGCCGAAAAUCAAGAAGCCAUGAUCAAGAGGAAAGUACCUAUGUGGUUGUUCCCUCUUGCUUUCCACAAUGACGACAACAUCAAAUAUUACGCUUGUUUGGCUAUCGCAGUUUUGGUAGCCAAUAAAGAAAUUGAGGCAGCCGUUUUAAAAUCUGGUACUCUUGACUUAGUCGAACCAUUCGUAACAUCGCAUAAUCCUUACGAGUUCGCUAAAUCGAAUUUGGCUCACGCUCAUGGGCAAAGUAAAAACUGGUUGGAGAGAUUAGUACCUGUAUUAAGUUCGAAAAGAGAAGAAGCUAGAAAUCUUGCCGCCUUUCACUUUUGCAUGGAAGCUGGUAUUAAGAAACAGCAAGGCAAUACCGAGAUAUUCCGCGAGAUAGGAGCGAUCGAACCAUUGAAGAAAGUCGCCAGUUGUCCCAAUGCGAUAGCUUCCAAAUAUGCAGCUCAAGCCUUGCGUUUGAUAGGCGAAGAAAUACCGCACAAACUUAGUCAACAGGUACCACUUUGGUCCACGGAAGAUGUGAGAGAAUGGGUCAAACAAAUCGGAUUUGCCGAAUGUGCCAUGAAUUUUGUCGAAAGUAGAGUGGACGGUGAUCUUUUGCUCCAAUUGACAGAGGAGAAUCUCAAAGAAGACAUUGGUUUAACGAAUGGAAUUAGAAGGAGACGUUUCACGCGAGAGCUUCAAAAUCUCAAAAAAAUGGCAGACUAUAGUAGCAGGGAUACCGGAAAUUUAAAUAGUUUCUUACAAUCGAUCGGUCAAGAAUUUUCUAUAUACACUUACAGUAUGCUCAACGCUGGCGUUGACAAAGAUUCGAUCAGGAAUGUGUCGGAGGACCAACUAUUGACCGAGUGUGGUAUCGGGAAUAGCAUACAUCGACUUAGGAUAUUGGAUGCAAUCAAGAACAUGCAACAUAAUCAGUUCAGUUCCUGCGAAGACGAAUCACCGAAUAAAUCUUUAGAUGUGUUCGUUAGUUAUAGAAGAUCUAAUGGAUCUCAAUUAGCUAGCUUACUCAAGGUUCACCUGCAGCUACGCGGAUUUUCAGUCUUUAUCGAUGUCGAAAGGUUAGAGGCUGGUAAAUUCGAUAAUAAUUUACUACAAAGUAUCAGGCAGGCCAAACACUUCCUCCUUGUGCUCACGCCCAAGGCUUUAGAUAGGUGUAUACAGGACGGCGAGUGUAAAGACUGGGUCCAUAGGGAAAUUGUGGCUGCGUUGCAAUCGCAGUGCAACAUUAUUCCCAUAAUAGACAAUUUUCAAUGGCCUGAAGCCGAAGAUCUUCCAGAAGAUAUGCGAGCGGUUUGUCACUUCAAUGGCGUACGUUGGAUUCACGAUUAUCAAGAUGCUUGCGUAGACAAAUUAGAAAGGUUUAUGCGAGGUGAAAUUCCUGUGAGAUCUGAGUUGUCCGGCGGAGGUAUACCUAGAAGUAUAGCAUCUAAAGACGUAACAGCACCUAGUACACCAGGUAGCACAAAUAUGCGACAGGCGCCGAAUUAUCAGCGAAUGCACAGCAAUGAAAGCAGAGGUAGCGACAAAGAUUCAACCGGUGGGCGAGAUUGACUAGAAGGCCCGCCCACAGCUAUUCCAAACAGCCGAGAUUAUGAACCGCGAUAAGACAAUCACGAUUAGAUUUAGAAAAUCGUCGAGUCCGUCCCGUUGGUUAAUGGGUUUACCACCAACGUCA
rnacentral:misc_RNA from 1 species